rnacentral:rRNA from 1 species
UACAGAGGUCUCAAGCGUUGUUCGGAUUCAUUGGGCGUAAAGGGUGCGUAGGCGGCGUGGUAAGUCGGAUGUGAAAUCUCGGAGCUUAACUCCGAAACUGCAUUCGAUACUGCCGUGCUUGAGGACUGGAGAGGAGACUGGAAUUUACGGUGUAGCGGUGAAAUGCGUAGAUAUCGUGAAGGAAGACCAGUGGCGAAGGCGGGUCUCUGGACAGUUCCUGACGCUGAGGCACGAAGGCCAGGGGAGCAAACGGG